GAUGAACGCUGGCGGCGUGCCUAACACAUGCAAGUCGAGCGGAGAAUUGUUGCUUGCAACACUUCUUCGCGGCGGACGGGUGAGUAACACGUGGGUAACCUACCCUCCUCAAAGGCAUAACAAUGUGCAAUCAUUCCUAAUUCCUUCUAAGCAUUCUCUAUAGCCUCAUAGUGUAAUAAAAGAAUGAUCGUUUUAUGAGGCGCCCGCGUCUGAUUAGCUAGUGGGAGAGGUAACGUCUCACCAAGGCGUCGCACAGGAGCCGACCUGAGCGGGCGAUCGGCCACAUUGGGACUGAGACACGGCCCAAACGCAUACGGGGGGCAGCAGGGGAGAAUAUUGGACAAUGGAGGAAACUCUGAUGCAGCAACGCCGAGUGAAGGAAGAAGGUUUUCGGAUCGUAAACUUCUAUAUACAGGGAAGAAAAAAAUGACGGUACCUGAGUAAGAAGCCCCGGCUAACUACGUG
rnacentral:rRNA from 1 species